AGGACGAACGCUGGCGGCGCGCCUAAAACAUGCAAGUCGAACGAGAAACCCGGGCUUGCCCGGGUGGACAGUGGCGAACGGGUGAGUAACACGUGAGGAACCUGCCCCGAAGACCGGGACAACACCGGGAAACCGGUGCUAAUACCGGAUACCUUCACCGGAUCGCAUGGUCUGGUGAAGAAAUGGAUUCCGCUUCGGGAUGGCCUCGCGGCCUAUCAGCUAGUUGGUGAGGUAACGGCUCACCAAGGCGACGACGGGUAGCUGGUCUGAGAGGAUGUCCAGCCACACUGGGACUGAGACACGGCCCAGACUCCUACGGGAGGCAGCAGUUAGGAAUCUUGCGCAAUGGACGAAAGUCUGACGCAGCGACGCCGCGUGCGGGAUGAAGGCCUUCGGGUUGUAAACCGCUUUCAGCAGGGACGAAAUUGACGGUACCUGCAGAGAAGCCCGGCACUACGUGCCAGCAGCCGC
rnacentral:rRNA from 1 species